CUCCUGAAGUGUGUGAAAUACUUAUUUCCAUGUGUAAAAAAUAUUGAUCGUAAAUGAUCGUAAAUAUAUGUAUGAAUAAUGAAAGCUUGGCAAGUGGAAUACGAAAACCCGGAUAUAUCACCGUUGCCGUUUUUUACACUAUGACGCAACUCAUCCAUGGACGCUCGUCUGCUGCUGAAUUCAUGUUUUACAGUUGAAAAGAAUGGAUAGAAAUAUAGUAGUCCGAUAGAUAAUACGAGGACCUCUUGUUUUUCAAAACUGUUGGGUCAAAAAGUUAUUUUAAACAGAUAAAUUGAAAUGGAUUGCUUGUCGAUUAACUGGAAGAAAGCGGUAAACGAAACGCACACAAACAAGAAAGUUGUGUUUCUUUUUGAUGUAAUACAUACCCACUAUUUUGUACUUGGAAAGCACAACGACAGCUGACUGGAAAUCAUGCUGUUUGGGCCCUCUCUUGUACAAUGUACAUAGGAAGUGGACUCCUUGAGAAGGUGAAAGGUCUGCUUUACAUCAUUUUCAAUGGAUGUACAAGUACAAGUACUUUUAGAAGUAGGAGAAGCUAAUCAACAGGACAGAAUUCAUUUGGGUCAUUGCUGUCUAGAUUAUAUAGUGGAUUAAUAGAUCAUCGAAUUGAUUUAU